rnacentral:rRNA from 1 species
GACGAACGCUGGCGGCGUGCUUAACACAUGCAAGUCGAACGGAAAGGCCCUGCUUUUGUGGGGUGCUCGAGUGGCGAACGGGUGAGUAACACGUGAGUAACCUGCCCUUGACUUUGGGAUAACUUCAGGAAACUGGGGCUAAUACCGGAUAGGAGCUCCUGCUGCAUGGUGGGGGUUGGAAAGUUUCGGCGGUUGGGGAUGGACUCGCGGCUUAUCAGCUUGUUGGUGGGGUAGUGGCUUACCAAGGCUUUGACGGGUAGCCGGCCUGAGAGGGUGACCGGCCACAUUGGGACUGAGAUACGGCCCAGACUCCUACGGGAGGCAGCAGUGGGGAAUAUUGCACAAUGGGCGGAAGCCUGAUGCAGCAACGCCGCGUGCGGGAUGACGGCCUUCGUGUUGUAAACCGCUGUCGCCUGUGACGAAGCGUGAGUGACGGUAAUGGGUAAAGAAGCACCGGCUAACUACGUG